rnacentral:rRNA from 1 species
AGUAAGUGGCGUACGGGGUGAGUAACACGUGGAUCAUCUACCUCUUGGUGGGGAAUAACCUUGGGAAACCGGGGCUAAUACCGCAUAAGCCUGGAAAGGGAAAGCAGCAAUGCGCCGAGAGAGGAGUCCGCGGCCGAUUAGCUAGUUGGUAGGGUAAUGGCCUACCAAGGCAAUGAUCGGUAGCCGGCCUGAGAGGGCACACGGCCACACUGGCACUGAAACACGGGCCAG